rnacentral:rRNA from 1 species
AUUGAACGCUGGCGGCAGGCUUAACACAUGCAAGUCGAGCGGAGUGAUGGUGCUUGCACUAUCACUUAGCGGCGGACGGGUGAGUAAUGCUUAGGAAUCUGCCUAUUAGUGGGGGACAACAUCUCGAAAGGGAUGCUAAUACCGCAUACGUCCUACGGGAGAAAGCAGGGGAUCACUUGUGCCCUUGCGCUAAUAGAUGAGCCUAAGUCGGAUUAGCUAGUUGGUGGGGUAGAGGCCUACCAAGGCGACGAUCUGUAGCGGGUCUGAGAGGAUGAUCCGCCACACUGGGACUGAGACACGGCCCAGACUCCUACGGGAGGCAGCAGUGGGGAAUAUUGGACAAUGGGGGGAACCCUGAUCCAGCCAUGCCGCGUGUGUGAAGAAGGCCUUAUGGUUGUAAAGCACUUUAAGCGAGGAGGAGGCUCUUUUGGUUAAUACCCAAGAUGAGUGGACGUUACUCGCAGAAUAAGCACCGGCUAACUCUGUGCCAGCAGCCGCCGUAAUAC